AUGGAGCGAGAGGGUAGCAAUAAGGUCCGAUCCGCGGGCAACUUUGGUGGUUCUUUCGAUGGUGGUGGCAGGUCAGCAUUUAGGGGAGGGUCAUUGCUAAGGGGGGAUUUUGACUACUUAUUAGCGCCUUGUAGUUGUCGUUUUAGUCCAAAAGCAUUUAAUUAUGUUCCCGGAAACUGAUGAAAGCUUAAUUGCAGGAAUAUUAGAAAAUGAGCCCCCAAGAUGAAAUCCAACUAAAGAAGGAGUAAUUUGAUCUCAAGGACAAAAAAAAGCACAGAAGCUCAGAAGUGCGGACCACAGAUUAUCAUCUGCGGCGGAAGAUUGUGAAGAAACUCCUAUCAGAGACAUGUGCAAAUUGCGGUCCGCACAUGACAUGUGCGGCCGAAGAAACUGGGCAAGAGCAAAAGUUCAGAGAACCUGCCUCUCAAGUUCAACAGAAGUGCGGACCGAAUAAUUAUUGUGCGAUCACAGAAAAAUAGCUACGCGACCGAAGUCACAUUUGUGCGGUCCGCAGAAGAGCAAAGUGCGGCUACAGACACAUUUGUGCGGACCGCUGAAAGAGAGAAAUGCGAUCGCAGAUCAGAAUUAUGCGGCCGUAAGUUUCCAAUCCUGUCAGGCUGAAGCAAAGUGUGGACCGCACAUGGAAUUGUACGGCCGCAGAACUUUCGAAAGGGCAUUUUUGUCCGAAAAUUCCAGUCCAGUAUAAAUAGAAGAGUUUCACUUUUUUAGGUCAAGUUUUGACAUCAGCUGCUACAGUAGAUGGUUUUCUUUACUCUCUUCAAGAAACUUGAUGAUGCUUUAUAGGCUUAUAGGACGGCUUACAAAACACAUAUCGGAAUGUCUCCAUACCGGUUGGUGCUCGAAAAAGCUUAUCAUCUUCUUGUGGAACUUGAGCACAAAACCAUAUGGGCUUUAAAGAAGUUGAAUCUUGAGUGGGAUGUCGCCGCCAACUUAAGGGUGGCACAUUUGAAUGAGUUGGAUGUGUUCCGGUAUCAUGCAUACACAAGUUCGUCCUUAUACAAAGAGAAGAUGCAAUAUCUUCAUGACAAGUACAUUUGGAACAAAGAGUUUAAAGAGGGUGAUCUUGUGUUAUUGUUCAAUUCAAGGUUACAAAUAUUUCCCGAAAAGUUAAAGUCCAAAUGGAGUGGCCCGCUUGAGGUAGUGGGUAUGACACCCUUUGGUGCAUUGGACUUGAAGAAUAAAAAUGAUGAGGUGUUUAGAGUCAAUGGACACCGAGUGAAGCAUUAUCUGGGAAAAGUUGGCGAUGGCCACAUCAUGGCGGUAAUUCAUUUCAAGUGAUGGUAACAUGCGUCGUGCCGCGACGUUAAAUCAAGCGCUUCUUGGGAGGCAACCCAUGUUUCUUUUUCUUUUAUUUUCUUUUCUUCUUCUUUAGAUAGGUCUUAUUUUGUGCUAAGUGGAUUUGAAGUGUGUUGCAGGAAUGAGUGUGCUUUACAGGAACUGUGCUAAGAAAAAAUUGGCUAAGUACGGAAAAAGUGCGGACCACAUAUGUAUUAUGCGGACCGCAUAAUUUUGAAUGCUACAGCAGAAGGCAACUGCGGCCGCAUAACUCUUGUGCGGACUGCACAACUUGAUACGAGAAAAUGCAUACUCUGUGAAGUUUGUUUGUCAGAGAAACAGCCAAAGUGCAGCCGCACAAUGAAAUCUAUGGUUCACACUAAAAUAUGCGGCUGCACAGCUAAAUCUGCGGACCGCAGAUCAUCAAAGGGAAUUGCAACCCCAGGUAAUAGAGUGCGGACCGCAGAAGGAAUUCUGCAGCCGCACUCAUCUCUUGAUUCCUUAGCCAGGCCCAAUGUGUAUAAAUAGUAACCUUAAGGCUACUGUUCGAACUUUCCAUUCUCUGAGCAAUCAAAAAGGGCUAAAAGUUUGCACACAUCUGCUCAAUUAUCCACCACCUAUAUACGCAUAUGUGAUCAUUCCUUAGCACUGCUUCAUCACUGGUAUGUUCAAAUCACUGCUAGGAUUCUUCAAUUUUCUUAGUUUAAUUUGCAAUUUGUUAGUUAUUUUAGAUCAUUUGUCAAUUUCAUAUCCCAGUGGGGUUUAAAUUGUGUUGAGUUAACUCCUAAUUACUUUUUGGGGAGUGGGUAGUUUGAUUAUCAUGUUUAAUUGCUAUCACCAUGUCCAAUUUGUGCAUUAAUUGAAACUCUUAAGGAAUCUGCCAGAUUUAAUUUUAAAAUUUGUGACCGCACAAGGAAUUGUGCGGUCCGCAGAAGUAUAGAUUAGGGUAGUCGGUGAGGCAAAAAUUGUGCGGAUCGUAGAAAUUCAACUGUGGCCGCAGAAAAGUGUGUGCGGCCGCCGAUAGGCCAAUCUCUGUCAUCAGAGAGUUGGCACUUAAAUUCUGCUGUCUUACUCAAAAUUGUGCGAACCACAGUUUCAUCUCUGCGGCCACACUUUAAAAUUAUGCGGUCCACACAACCCAACCUGUGACCGCACUUGCAUUUGUGCGGACCGUACUUCCCCCUGCAAACAUGUUCUGUUCUGUGACAUUAUGUUUAUCUGCACUUGAACUAGAACUAACUCCUCUUGUUGUUAGUUACAUAAAAUGGUUAGAUCACGUGGUCGUGGUGAUACAUCAAAGGCGAGGGGUGAACCUUCCAGAGGCCAAGGCAGGAGUGCCUUAACCCUCGCCCUUCAAAGAUCUAUAUCCAAAAAGGCGACAAUCGGCCGAGGUAGAGCUGCAGAGCUAGCCGAAUCAAUCUCUUAUGUCCCAUCUAGGAAAGCAUCAGAGGGCGACUCAGUGCAAGAGCAGGCUGCUAUUCAAUCACAACCAUAGCAGCUUCAGGGGAGAUAUCAACUCUGAGACGAGCCUUCCACCUCUGAGAGCACUUCUGAGGGUUCAGAAGGUGACAGUCAAGCUUCGUAGCCCUCAUACACACAUUCCCCCGAUGCACCAGCUACUACAUUGAAUGUUUAUAAUAUUCCGGAUGAUGGCCGAGGGGGUGAUACUAGAGUUUCCGACCUUGAAAGGUCGAAGAAGAAGGAGAUAUGGGAAGAUAGGUUUGUUAGUCUAGCCGCUUUCAUAAGUUUUCGAGAGUGGUGGCCACUGAGAUCGCUCACUCUUGAGUGGCAGUUCAUGUUGAAAGACCUUGACAAAUACACCCCGGCAGUGCUGAGACAGUUCCGGAAGUGGAAGGGGUAGAUGUGGUUCACCCAGAGUGUGGUAGAUGCCAAGGAAUACCUGGUCCGAGAAUUUUAUGCCAAUGUGGCGCAUAUCAAGAAAGCGGCCAAGUUAACAAAAGUGAGAAAUUUAAAGGUGAGAUUUGAUUAGAACACCCUGAACACAUAUUUAGGGUUUGAGGAUGUGGAGCCUGUGCAAUACAUGGAAAAGUUAGCAUUGAGAGAUGCAGCUCGCCAGUGGCUAACUGUGAUUCUUGUAGAUCCGGGAUCGCCUCCAGUAUGGAUCAUAGCAGGGGUUCCUAUUCAGCGCAACACCCUAAAUUUUGAGGCAAAGGGAUGGAAAAUGUUCGUGUGUAGUAGACUAGACCCUUGCCAAAAUGAAACAAAUCAUUCAACUCCGCGGGCAGUGCUAGUCGCCUCUAUCAUGGCUGGGUACCCAAUCAAUGUGGGUGGCGUGCUGUCGGCCAACAUCUCAAUGGUCGCCAGGCAAGGUGACACUUCUUACCUGUAUCCCAACACUAUCACUGAGCACCUUACGGAUGCGGGGGUGGAGCCGAAAUAUUUUGAUAUUAAGGUGCGGGCGAAGAAGCCCUUCUCCUGGUAUUCGUUGAUGGGUGGUAGCAACCCAAAGAAGAAGGGUCAGCCUUCUACUACUGCGGGCCAGUCUGACGAGCCCGUCGGGGUAGCUGCUGAGAUAGUUGAUGUGCCAUCUACUUCAACAGGGCCUUCCUAUAGUGCAACAGCUAUGCCUCCGCCUCCUUCUUCAGGCCCCUCAGCAUCAGUGCCUUCCACCUCCGCUUUGAAGCCGGUGCCCAUGCCCUCUCAUCCUCUAUCUACGCGGUGAGUCUCCCAGACACUGGCGAGCCUCAACAACUGGAUGCAGAUAGCCACUGCAAAGCUAUCUGACAUAUCCAGUAUUGUUGCAGCAUAGUCAUCCACUCUAGCACCUCAGAUUCCUCCAGUAGUGGAGGAUAAAUUGAAAAAGAUCCCGAAGAACCAGGCCACCAUCAUGAACAUCUUGGUAGCACAUGGAGCAGUGAUUGAGGAACUGGGGAAGCAGGUAAAGAAAAUGAAGAAAUCCAGGCAUCCAAGAAAUCAGUUGACAGGUUGAGGAGAGAGGUGACCAGGAUAGCAGCAGCUGGUGAUAUUCCAUUUGAUAUGCUGAUGGAGACAGAUCCACCAGCAUCAGUAGAUCUAGCAGCACCAUCGGCUUCAAUGGCACCAGCUGGCCAGUCUGAGAAGCCAGACCUGGCUGCCAACACUGCCGAGGCGGUGCGACAGAAGUUCACUAACCCAGCUACUCCCAGAGCCGAGGAUGAUGAGAUCCAGUUAGAGGAGGCUGAGGGCGGUGAUGCUGCUAUGGACACAGAGAUGUCCAAGGCCACAUAGGGAGUCCUCUUUACUCUUACCCUUCCUUAUUCUUAUUUUGUUAAGCAUUGGGGAAAAUGUUUAUUUUUAUUCGGGGGGGGGGGGAUGGUGUUUAUUUACUAUUUGGAUGAUUUUUAGACAUUUGGUUUGUAAUAACUAAUAAUAUUUUCUUCUUUCUUUUUAUCAUGUAUAUAUUCUCUCCUUUCUUUCUUGAUGUAUAUAUUCUCUCUUUUCCUCUCUCAUUAUGUAUAGUCAUUAUAUUUUCAGUAGUUUACUUUGUAUCUUCUUUAUUUUUAUUUUCUUAUUAGCUUCUUGUUUAAGUUAGUAGCUUCUUUUUAAUUUAGUAGCUUCAUUUUAUGUUUUAGUGGAUAAUAAGCCUUUGGUUUUCUUAAUGCCACGAUUCUUUCCAAAGGUAGUUUUUGUGUGAACCGGGUGACUCUUCCCAACGAUGGAUGGCGUGAUAAACUUCUUAAGGGAUUGAGUCUGUUUUUGGUGUUUAGGUAAGAAUAGUAGUAAUAAUGAAUAAAAAGACCUAAUUGAGUCAGGCUCGAAGAGUGAAACAUGCUUCACUUGGUACCAACACACUUAACUAUGUGCUUAUGACUAUAAACAAGUUUUUUUUAAAAAAGAAAUAGCUCUAGUUAGAGACCUUCUAACUCUUGUGUUGACUUAAGCAAUCAUCGAGUUGUUUAGUCGAACCAUAGUGAUUUUCAAUCUUAAAUAUGGUCAUUGUGGGCCCUCGACUCUAUGCUCUUUAACAAUCCUGCUGUGUGAGAGGUGUCAUGUUUUUGUUGCAAGUCCAAGUACCCGUGCGAAUGGUCUAGAACUUGCCCCGAAUGUGUUUGAAGGAAAUAUUUUAAGUUUUGCUUGGCUUGAGAAGUGAUUGUAGGAUCUCCUUGACCCGCUUGAGAUUUUUCAUGGCCCACCAAUGUUGUUAUCCCUAGUCAACCCAUUUGAGCCUAAAAACCUUUCUCAUUUGAUAACCAUGUUACAAACUUUUACCCGUUUUGUUGUGACCCUCUCUUGGCAUCCGAGCUUUCCUUAACACGCUUGAGAAACAAUGGGCUAAAAACAUAAGUUUGGGAGAGAGACGAGGAGUUUGAAAAAGGUAUCAAGGCACAAAAAGAGAAAUGAAAUGAAGAGAAGGAAAGGCAAGAAAAAGAAAGAAAGAACAAAAAGAAAAAUGCAAAAAGAAAGUGAAUAAGUUGAAGGGAUUCAAAGAAAAGUAAUGAUGCAAAGCAUGAAGAAAACAAAGAAGGAGAAAAUGAAUAUCAUGACCAAGAAAAAGUGAUGUUAAGUCUCUCUAGUUCCCCUAAGGAAAAGAAAAUGCCUCAAAGAGUUGGCAAAACAUGAGCCGAUAAGAGAAAAAGGAGUGCUUAAGGAAAGAUGAACCCGUUCUAUCAUAACAUAUCCAACCUUAGUCCAAAAGCCUUCAUUGCAUUCUGAAAAAGCCCUAUGUGAUUUCAAGACGAGUGAGCUUACAUUAGUGGUGAUCUACAUGAGGGGCAAGCCUAUGGUACUUAGAGUCGUACUUGCGACAUUCGUUUGAGAGAGAUGAGCGAACGUUUCACAAAUCUUUGAAUUAAGUGCUACAUUCUUAAGUGAGAUAUGAUAACGAAGAGUAGAGUAGGAGGAGUUUGGGAUCCACAAUGACCUACAUGAAAGAGCGAGCUUCCUUGAUGAAUCAAGUCAACUCUUGAUGCUCAAGGGUCACAUUAGAACUAUUUAUGCUUAAAAAUUCAACUCAUUGCCUUGGUCCAAGUUGAUGUGUGAUUGAUGCAUCUUUGAUUAGCUGGAAUAUCUCUUAACUUGUGGAGGUGAGAAUUACCUUAUUUUCUUGAGGACAAGCAUAAGCUUAAGUUUGGGGGAGUUGAUAAGUGGGGAUUUUGACUACUUAUUAGCGCAUUUUAGCUAUCGUUUUAGUUCAAAAGCAUUUAAUUGUGUUCCCGAAAAUUGAUGAAAUAUGUUUAAUUGUAGGAAUAUUGGAAAAUGAGCCCCCAAGAUGAUAUCCAACUAGAAAAGGAGUGAUACGAACUCAAGGACAAAAACAGGCACAGAAGCUCAGAAGUGCGGACCACAGAUUAUGAAGAAACUCCUAUCAGAGACAUGUGCAAAGUGCGGUCCGCACAUGACAUGCGCGGCUGCAAAAACUGGGCAAGAGCAAAAGUUCAGAGAACCUGCCUCUCAAGUUCAAUAGAAGUGCGAACCGCACAAUUUUUGUGCGGCCGCAGAAGAACAACUAUGCGGCCACACUCACAUUUGUGUUGUUCGCAGAAGAGAAAAGUGCGGCCACAGACACAUUUGUGCGGACCGUAGAAAGAGAGAAGUGUGGCCGCAUAUCAGAAUUAUGCGGCCUCAAGUUUCCAAUCCUAUCAGGCUGAAGCAAUGUGCGGACCGCAAAUAGAAUUGCGCGGCCGCAGAACCUCUGAAAGGGUGGUUUUGUCCGAAAAUUCCAGCCCUUUAUAAAUAGAAGAGUUUAACUUUUUAGGUCAAGUUUUGACAUCAGCUGCUACAGUAGACGGUUUUCUUUACUCUCUUUAGUAGUUUUUGCUAUUUUGAGCUUUUUGAAUAUAGAUUUCAUCAUUUUAAUUAUCAAUAUGUGUUUAAUUAUCAUUUCUUCUUCUAUUUCUUCUAUCUUAAGCAUGAGUAGGUAGAUUUUACUAGGGUUGUGACCCAACCGCAGAGUGUAAUCCUAAUGGGUGUUUGAUUUAUUACUUAUUUAUGGUUGAGUGUUUAUUAUUUAGCCUUGUUCUUGCUUUUAAUUGUAGAAUUAAUGGUUGCAAAUAUUAGUUCAUGCCUAUUUGACUUAGUCUCUACUUGUGAAAGAGAGACUUAGUCUAUGAAAACUUGGCUCCCAAUUAAAAGGUUGAACCUAGAGAUAGUAAAACCCGACUUGAGCUUUGCACCAACCGUUUUGUUCAAUACCCAUUUGGACUUGAGAAAGCCAAAUUGAAAAAAAUCACUCUCUGACCGAGAGGUAUUGAGUGGGUAUUUCAGUGUUGAUAGUUAUAAUACACCCCGACCAAUAAAACAAGCUUUAAAGUUUACAACCCAUUAGGCAAACACUUAGGUGAAGGUCAUAGCCCCAGGCAUUUUAUAUCAUUUGAAAAACAACAACAAAAAUAAUUUUCAAGUUUCAAUUCUUAGUUUGUAAUCUUAGUUUAAAUUAGACCUAGAAACAACCCAAAUUUGUGGAAGUGCAAUUUGAGAUAAUUAAAGCUCAUACACUAUAAUAUAUACCCCUAAAUCCCAUUCAUAGCUCCCUAUGGAAAAUUGACCCCGACUCCUUGUUGGGUACUACUAUUGCAUCGACCAUUUCAUAACCUUAAAUAAAGGUGUGACUUGGACGAGAUCAGUCAUCCGGGCCGUCCCAAUCCUUUGAUCAGUCUUCAGUCAGUGCACAACCAUUAGGGCCCAGUCAGCAGUAGUGGAACCAUUUCAGGCCAUGUCAGGGCAGCAGGGGAUCCUACCAACAGGGUCAGCCUGGUGGGAGAUUUUAGCAGCAGCAGAGGCCCUCAUGCCCUAGGUGUGGGAAGAUGCACUUAGUGGCCUGCUUCAUGGACCUACCCAUAUGCUACGAGUGCAUUAUUAGGGGUUACAUUUAGAGGGAUUUCCGCUCGUCUCGCCAGAGUGUCGACAGGGGUACGACACGACUAGCUAGUUCUAUAGCUACUUCAUCCACAACAUCUCCUCAAGCUCGAGGCUCUCUAGCACUUGCAGGGCGUGGUGCAACUAGGGGUGGUGCACAAUAUUCGGGCCCCCCAGCUGUUUCUAUGCUAUGAGGGGUUGCUAGAGUUCAAAGGCUUCUCCAGAUGUUGUCACAUGUAUAUUGACUGCCGAAUCUCAUGAUGUAUAUGCUCUUAUUGAUCCCGGUUCCACUUUGUCAUAUGUCACUCCUUAUAUUGCUAUGGAGUUUGGGAUAGAAUCAGAACAUCUUUAUGAGCCGUUCUCUGUAUCUACUCUGAUUGGUGAGUUUAUUGUGGCAGCGUGGGUUUAUAGGGAUUGUGUUGUCACAGUGCAUGGUCGAGACACCAUGGCUGAUCUCAUUGAAUUGGGGAUGAUUGAUUUUGAUGUAAUAAUGGGGAUGUAUUGGCUUUAUUCAUGUUUUUCCAAGCUUGAUUGCCGAACUAGAACCGUUAGAUUUGAAUUUCCAAAUGAGCCAAUUAUUGAAUGGAAGGGAGAUGAUGUGGUGUCGGUAGGUUUAUUUCCUAUCUUAAGGCCAUGAAGAUGAUCAACAAGGGGUGUAUUUACCAUUUGGUCCAGGUUACAAACACCGAUGCUGAGGCACCUACACUUGAGUCUGUGCCAGUUGUGAAUGAAUUUCCGGAGGUCUUUCCUUAUGAGCUCCCUAGGAUCCUACCAGACACGGAGAUUGAUUUUGGGAUUGAUGUGAUGCCAGACAUGCAGCUUAUAUCUAUUCCACCUUACAGAAUGGCACCGACAUAAUUGAAGGAACUAAAGGAACAAUUGAAGAAUUUGUUAGAGAAGGGUUUUAUCUGGCCAAUUGUGUCGCCUAGGGGCACACCGGUUCUCUUUGUUAGGAAGAAAGAUGGGUCAUUGAGAAUGUAUAUUGACUAUUGGCAGCUCAACAAGGUCACAAUUAAGAAUAAUUACCCACUUCCAAGGAUAUAUGACUUAUUUGAUCAAUUGCAGGGUGCUAAGUAUUUCUCCAAGAUUGACUUAAGGUCAGGGUAUCACCAAUUGAAGAUCAGGGAGCAGGAUAUUCCAAAAAUAGCUUUCAGGACCCGGUAUGGGUACUUUGAAUUUUUGGUGAUGUCUUUUGGGCUAAGAAAUGCCCCGAAAGCUUUCAUGGAUCUUAUGAAUCAAGUUUUCAAUCCUUUUCUCGACUCUCUUGUGAUAGUGUUCAUUGACGAUAUUUUUGUAUAUUCACGAAGUCGGGAGGACCAUGCCGACCAUCUUUGGGCAGUUUUGUAGACUCUGUAUCAGCACAAGUUGUAUGCGAAGUUUUUAAAGUGUGAAUUUUAGCUUAAAUCUGUCACAUUCUUGGGUCAUGUUGUCUCUUGUGAAGGAACUAAGGUUGAUCCUCAGAAGAUCGCAACUGUGAAGAAUUGGCCUAGACCUACAACUCCAACAAAGAUUCGCAUUUUCUUGGGCUUGGAUGGGUAUUACAGAAAGUUUGUAGAGGGGUUCUCUACUCUUGCCUAUCCGUUGACUAAAUUGACGCAGAAGACAGUUAAGUUCCAAUGGUUAGAUGCUUGUGAAAAGAGCUUCCAGGAGUUGAAAUUAAGAUCGAAUACGACACCAGUGUUGACCUUACUAGAGGGUACAAAUGGGUUUGUUGUAUAUUGUGAUGCCUCGAGAAUUCGACUAGGGUGUGUAUUGAUGCAACAUGGCAAGGUGAUCGCUUAUGCUUCUAGGCAACUCAAGAAUCAUGAGAGGAACUAUCCAACUAAUGAUGUAGAACUUGCGGCGGUGGUGUUUGAGUUGAAGAUUUGGUGCCAAUAUUUGUAUGGGGUCCAUGUGGAUAUAUUCACGGACCAUAAGAGCCUUCAAUAUAUUUUAAAACAUAAGAAAUUGAAUCUGAGGCAGAGAAGAUGACUUGCGUUGCUCAAAGACUACGACAUCAAUAAUAUAUAUCAUUCAGGGAUGGCUAAUGUUGUGAUGGAUGCUCUUAGCCAGAAAUCUAUGGGUAGUUUGGCUUACUUGGAGGCAUAUCAAAGGCCAUAAAUCUUGGAGAUAAUUAAUAUCGACUUUGUAGUAGGACUACCUCGCACUCCUCGCAAGUUUGACUCGGUCAGAGGGUUGGUCAGGUGGCUUACAUGCUUGAGCUACCUCCAGAGAUGUCAUUGGUACACCCAGUGUUUCAUGUGUCUAUAUUGAAGAAGGUAGUUGGUGACCUGACACUCAUUGUUCUGGUUGAGACUAUUGAGGUUAGUGAAGAAUUGACUUAUGAAGAGAUUCCACUUUCCAUUCUUGAUAGGCAAGUCCGAAAGUUGAGAAAUAAAGAGAUCGCCUCCAUGAAAGUGCUAUGGCAAAACCAACAGGUUGAUGAGGCCACUUGGGAGGCCGAGGAAGAAAUGAAGAAAGAGUAACCUCAUUUGUUUGAAUAACAAUGUAAUUGUUUCUAUGAAUUAUGUUUCCCUUGUACAAUUUAUGUUAAAGGUGUUCCUUUCUGGUAAUAUCUUGCUUAUGAGGCCACUGUUGGUGUUGUUUUCAUGUUAUUUUAUGUCGUUGGAUUAUGCAUAUGUUGUUAGGAUUGGUUUCUGGGAUUCUUUGGCAGGUGGAUAGGCACAGUUAUAGGGGAAACUCUUCCGAAAUUUUGAAAAUUUGGGGAGUUAGUCAAAUUUGGAAUUCCUGGUGUGUGAAUUAAGAGCUGAGUCAAUUUGGAGAUGUAUGAUCCUAAGCGGGGAAGGAUGCAAGGCCCCAAAUAAUUUUACCUAGAACCCAGGGUUUCGUGGUACCGAGGUAGAACCCGGGGUUUCGUGAUCGCCGCGGUAUUGACUUUUUGGGUUGUACAGUGCGUCGGGGAUUGAAAGAAUCUUUUUGCAGAAUAGGGCAUUUUUGCAGUCCACUAUGCGAUCGCAAAAUCACUUUGCGGACCGCAGAUCCAUUGCAGAAUGCAACAGGGCCCAAGAAAAAUUUUGAAGAGAAUUUUGCGGUCGACUAUGCAUCCGGAUAACCAUUUCGCGGGCCGCACAUCCGUCGCAGAACCAUCAUGAGCAAACUUGGGAGGAAGAUUUUAUGGCACGUUAUGCGACCGCAUAACUGAUAUGCGGACCACAGAUCUAUUGCAGACUGGACCAGUCCAACCCAAUUUUUGAGGACCAUUUCGCGGUCCAUUGUAUGGACAACAUAACUGUUCUGCGGUCCACUCCCCGACUGCAUAAUUGAGUUCGAAGGGUCCAUUUUAUGAUUUUAUAACCUGACCUUAUUUCCUAUAAAAUGAUCUUGGGGUUAUUUUGGCUGGUUUAAUCAGAUAUUUUAAGAGAGUGGGAGGAACUCCAACGCCUACCACUGCAAUCCCUUGCCCAAGCCAUAUAGAAUUCACAAGGGAAGCUCACAAGGGCUUCAUCUAAGAGAUAAGGUUCCAUACCCUAGUCUCUAAUUUUCCCAAUUCAUUCUGAAAUAUCCCCGGAACCAAACCAACUACCCCGGCAAGUUACAUAACAACAAAUGAGCAUAGAAUAAGCAAUAAAUGGGGGAACAGGACUACAAUGCUCAAAAUGACCGGCCACGUCGUUUCAGUCCCGUUCCUUAAACCCCGAUAAAAGACACCAUGACAGCCUUAUGGAACUAUAACAAGAUCAUAGUAACAUAAAAAGGUAAAAAGGUUGCGGAAGAUGUCAAUGAGAUGAUUCGGUCUGUGAGGUACUAUACCCAAGAAGAGCUGAGAAAGGAAAAACAAAAUCGAGACAGUCAAAUGCCUUUGAAAAGUCAGUCACUAAUGAAUAAGUUGAGGAGUUUCUAAAGAAGAUGAAGGUCCAUGACUACUCUAUAGUGGACAAACUUAGAAAGACUCCAGCCCAAUCUCUCUCUUGUCUUUUCUAUUGAGUUCGGAUGAACACCGCAAGGUACUGAUCAAACAUUAAAUGAGGGGUAUGUCCCAGACAGUAAGCCAGUAAUAGAGAAUGGAUGAGUGAUUCUUUGAAAUAAAUAAGAUAUCCUUUAGUAAUAGUGAAUUUCCCAUUGACGGGGAUGGCCACAACAGGGCCUUCCCCAUGUCAGUUAAGUGUGAAGGACAUUACAUGAAAAUGAUGAUGAUCAAUGGUGGUUCGGGGUGGACAUUUGCUCUCUAUCUACUCUUCCAGGCUUGAAAAUCAACGCUAGUUAGAUCCAAACUAACAAUGUCUUUGUCCACAAUUUCGAUGGGACAAAAGUGACACCAUUAGGGAGAUUGGUUAGGUGCUGACCAUUGGACAUGUUAAUUUCCAGGUGACCUUCCAGGUUUUAUAUAUGGAGACAUCCUAGAAUUUUCUCCUUGGAAGGCCAUGGAUUCACACUGCUCAGGCCAUUCCUUCCACUCUCCACCAAAUGGUAGUUCGAGCAUGAUAAACAAGAAAUAUGUGUAUGGGGAGCUUGAACUCUCAAUCUAUAAAGACCCAUCAAUCUCAUAUCUCGAAGCCAGAGAAGGCAGUGAGUCUAUUAUUUUCCAAGCUUUUGAGAUAAUGAUCAUUCAUGGAUGCAAAGAGGGAACUCCAAUGAUUAAGCCAUGCCUAUCCUCCACAAAGGUCAUGGCAGCCAUCAGCCAUAGGGUAUUAUUGAGUGUGUCAAGCCUAAAGCUAGGGGAGCGCGACCGACACUCAACUGAGAUACCCCAGUCAAGCAAGCCUAUUCAAUGCCUGCUACCCGAACUUACCCAAGAAUAAAGUGAAGGUGCAUUUUCAUUAAUUAGACAAUAGCAAGAUCACGUGAACAACACAAUUUCAUUGCCAUUAGCUAAUUCAUUUGAAAUUCCCAAAAUACAUUACACAAUAACAGUUUGAAUUGGAACAUGUGGUACCAAUAAAAUAUUUUUAGUUUGACUUUCCCAACACCAAUAUACAACACACACUAUGUCUACGGAGCCUCUAACAGAUACAAAAGAGUACUGUGAUAUUGCCAGCGAUAAGGCCCCGGCUAUACCUCAAAAUAUUAUCCAUAAGUAACAGAAGAUACAAGACAACGAAAUGAAGUGGGGAUCACCAAGUCAGCUGGGAAGAGGGUGUACCACUAUCACUAAUCGAUGCCCCCGGCUGUGGAACCACCUGUAUCCAUUAAAGAUGCAGUGCCUUCGGUAAAAGGGACGUUAGUACAUAUGGCAUAGUACUAGUAUGUAAGACUAAACACCCUCAUAAUAGAACGAGUAACAGUACAAUGAUAAAGAAUAUGGAGUCAAUGAGAACCUCAAACAAUAUAACAAUGCCAAAUUAAGAGAAAGAUAAAUUUCAAGUAAGUAAUGAUGUUUUAGGUUGGGAGAUCUUUAGUACCAAUACACCACUAUGUUUUUAGUACGGAGUCUGAUCUCAGCCUGAUCAGCUAAGCUGUCAACCAGAGACAUCCAAUCACAACACCACUAUGUGCACGAUAUGACGUCCGAUCUCAGCCUGAUCAGCUAAGUCGUCUCCCCUCAAUGAUCUGUGGGUCGACAUCACAUUCUGCUAGCAGUUAUCUCAUCCCAAUUAAGGGGAAUAAUCUCAUCACAUCAAUUUAGUCCCAAUUAAGGGAAAUAAUCUCAUCACAUCAAUACGAGGAUUUACCCGUCAUCACUCCUAUACCGGCACGUGUAGUUUCGGGGUUAGGCUAAUUCAGCCUAUCCUUCCUCGGUGACUAAACGAUACUCCCAAAACAUUUAUUAUAAAAAAAAUUAAAGCUCAUUUCAUAAUACUUCACACAUCCUUUCAUUACGUUGGCACUAGUGGCCACAAGUAUAAUUUCGUUCUUGGCAUGUUGGCCGUAUUUCAUAUUUCAUACUCCUUCCUUUCACUUUCAAACAUCAUUAUGGAUUUUCAACAAUAAGGGCACUUAUAAUCAGGACUUUAAGUUCAUAUAUGGGCAACAAGAGUCUUAAGCACAUUAGGUUUUCUUCCACAAUUUGGCAUAAUAACUUGCAAUUGAAACAUGAUUGAAAUCAUAAUAUUUCGACACAUUGGCCAAAUUUGAAUACAUUCCCGAAGGAGAACAUAAUAUGAUAGGAGCAUUUGGCACAAAUUUUUGGUAUAUAUCUUUCAACACAAGCUUAUUCAGAAUAAUCAAAUUUAUAAGGAAUAACUCAUAACAUGAGAAACAAGAGCUUGGACCUUCAUACUUGAAACUUACGAGGACACCAAGGGAUUCGAUUCUAAGAGAGAAGUUUAGCCAACAUACCUCAUUUUGAGCUUUUCUUAAAUUACUACAAUAUUUCGGAAGUCCUAGAAACUUCAAUAUAUUAGAGAUACGAUAAAAUCGAACUGUAAUUAGGAAGAGGUUCAUGGGUUCUGCUCAUUUAAGCAUUUCAUCAAAUACUAUGUAUGCAACUUAACUACAAGUUUCUUCGAUAAGAUUUCCUUCACCCCACAACUAAUUCAACUCCAAGGGUUCACCCAUAUUAGUUCAAUGACCUCCCCACCAUUCAUAUUGGUAUAUCCCAAACUACUUAGUCCCAAGGUUGGAAGCCUAAGUUGGAAGAGUUGACGGGAUAUUGACUUAUGUGUAAAUGACUCUGGAAUAGAGUUUCGAUGGUUCUGAUAGCUCCGUAUGGUUAUUUUGGACUUAGAAGUGUAUCCGGAUAUUGAUUUGGAGGUCCGUAGGUGAUUUUGGCUUAAAUUGGAAAAGUUGAAGUUUGGAGAGUUGAGAGGUUUGAUCGAGAGUUGACUUUGUGGUUAUCGGGAUUUGAUUUUUGUUUUGAAAGUUGGAAUAGGCCAGUUGUGUCAUUUAUGACUUGUGUUCAAAAUUUGAGGUCAAUUAGAGUUGGUUUGAUAGGUUUCGGCAUCGAUUGUAAAAGUUGGAAAUUCAUUAGUUUCAUUAGGCUUGAAUUGAGGUGCGAUUCAUGUUUUUGAUGUUGUUUGAUGUGAUUUUAGGCCUCGACUAAGUUUGUAUCAUGUUUUAAGACUUGUUGGUAUGUUUGGAUGGGGUCCCGGGGGCCUCGGGUAAGAUUCAUAUUAGUUUCGGAUUUGUGUUUGGCCUUAUCUGAUUGCUGAUGUUCAGGUAUCUGGUUUCCUUAUACAAGAUCAUGUGGGAAGGUCUGAGAUUGCGAAGGCUUGUUUGGGUAACUGGUAAAGUUGGUCUAUCAGAUCACAGAGCUUUGGUUGUUAAUGCAUCGCGAAUGCGGGUAUGGGGCACGUCCGCGAAGAAGGAAGGGGGAGGCCUGGGAAUCCCUCGCGAUUGAUCUUCGUGAUCUCGAGAGGGAGUCCGUGAUCGCGUAUGUUUGAGAUUUUUUGCAUCGCAUUCGUGGCUGGUUUUCCGCAUUCUCAUAGGUCAUUUUAAGGGUAGCAACUUUUUGUUCUUCGUGGUCGCAGGGGACUUUCUCGAUCGCGAAGAGAAACAACUGGGCAACAAUGUUAAAUAUCAAAAUCGAGGGUUUAAACCCAUUUAUCAUAUUGUUUGAGCUAGAGACCUCGGAUCUGGCUGAUGCUUGAAGGAAUUUUCAAGGAGUUGAUUGGGGAAAGUGGUUCUAACUUGGUUUUGGUAGUUAUACAUGAAUCUAUAAUUGUUUUUGCCAUUUAAUUAGUGUUUUGAGUUGGAAAUAUUGGGGGAAACUUAUGAAACUUCAUAGACUAUAAUUUGAGGAUUUGAAGGUCGAGUUGAGAUCUGAAUUUAGUAAUUUUGGUAUGGUUUGUCUCGUUGUUGAAUUAGUGUUUGAUUUGUUAAUUUUGUCGGAUUUUGAGACGUGGGCAUAGUCUUGACUUUUUGGGUUGACUUUUAGACUUUGGUUAAAGAACUUAGCUUUAUCGUGUGGAAUCGAUUCCUAUAGCUUGUAUUGAUUGUACUAAAUUGUUUGUGGAUAGAUUCGAGUUGUUCGGAGGCCGAUUCAUGAGUCAAGGGGUUGUUGGAGUAGGAAUUUGUACAGUUGAGGUAAGUAACACUUCUAAACUUGAUACUGAGGGUAUAAAUCCCUGAACUACGUGUUAUCUGGUUGGUGUUGAGGUGACGCACAUGCUAGGUAAUGGGCUUGUGAUCGUGCACCGUAGUAAUUGUGACUCGGUUGAUUAUGUGGAAAUGUGUAGUUAUCUAAUCUUAUUAUUAUUUAUGUAUUCUCCAUUGUGUUAGAGAAAUUGAGUUGUGAUUCAUAUUAGAAAUCAUGUUUAUGUGAUAUGCUGAUACUGUUGGGACCCACAUAGGUUUUAUUUGUUGUUGAGUUAUCUGCUUAAAUUGCAGUUAUUUUUUAGUCGCAUUCAUCAUUUGCAUAUCAUAUCUCAGUCUCUAUUAUCAUUUAUUGUUACAUCAUGUAUCAUUGUUUUGGGUUGAUUGGCAUGAGUUUUGUGAGCCCGAGAGACUGGAGAGAUUGAUGACUGAGUGAGGCCAAGGGCCUGAUUGUAAGUGAUAUUUAUGUGAUCGGGUUGUACGCCACAACAGGAUUUAUUGAUUCAUGAUGGGAUCGGGUUACAUGCCGCAGUAUGCCAUGAUUGGCUUAUAUUAGUGAUUGGGCCGAAUCCGUCCCUCCGGAGUCUGACAUACCAACAGUGAGCACCAGUACCGUUGAGUGCGAGUGCCGAGAGAUUGAGAGUGCUGAGUGAUUGAGAGUUUUGAGUGAUUGAGAAUGCUGAGUGAUUGGGAGUACUGAGUGAUUGAGCAUGCUGAGUGAGGUUGAAUACUUCGAGAGUAUGAUUAUAUGUCUUUAUCACUAUGUUGCAUUAUAGUUGACAUGCAUAUAUGACAUGUAGAUGUCAAGAUGUAACAUACCUCACAUUGGUCAUACUUGGCAUAUGUUAUCCGUGUUGAGCUCAAACUGUUAAAUACUUGAAAGCAUGUCUACAUUUCUGAACUGUCUACAAACUGAUUAUGAAAAUUUUCUCUGAGUUGUUAUUGUGUGAUUGUAGUUCGGGAAGGCGAUGGGGUGAUUUGAUUUUUGAUUUUAAAAAUUGGCCCAGCAUCAAGCUAUGAUGACACUGAAUGUUUUAUUUGACUAUGGGGGUUUGGAUUACCUACACUCCCAUGUCAGUGGGAAGUAAGAACAAUACUUGGGAUAUAGCCAUUGAUUGUUGUUGGAAAGCUAGAUGUUCGUCCUCAAAAUCUGCCCAAGUUUAUUUGCUAGAAGAUAAUUCUACGUUGUGCCGCCUCUUUGAUCAUUAGAGUUGACGAGGUGUGGACUAUGCUUCUCUUAGGCUUGAGAAGAUGGAUAUGUGAUUUUUUUGGAUGAAAUAGGGUCCCGGGUUGGAACUCUAAUUCGAAAGAGAUCCGGGCUAGAUACCAGCCCGCAGCGCUAUUAGAGUAUUUUGGAUUUUUGAAGGAGAUUCGGCUGUAUACAGGUCCAAAGUGAUCAGAUCACUUAGACUGUUGAAGGAAAUCCGGGUUGUAUACCGUUCUAAAGCGAUAUCGGAGCACUUGAAUGAAAAAAGGAAAUCCGAGCUGUGUACCAAUUCGAAGCUAUAUCGGAGCACUUGAAUGUAAAAAGGAAAUUCGGGAUAUGUACUGGUCUGAAGUGAUAUCGGAGCACUUGAAAUCUAAAAUACUCGUAUUAGAAGGUGGGCGCCUGUAAAAUUUGAACUUGAAAUGAAAUGCCCAUUGUUCAGGAGGGCUCUUUGAAAAUUUGGCUUUAAAAUGAAAUGCCCAUUGUUCAGGAGGACGCCUGGAAAAGUAAGAAGUUAUUUUUCCCUUGUAAGAAAAUUUAUGAAAAGUGUUUUACCAUUAAUGAGUCAGGCAGGCAAUAGAUGCAAAAUGAUGGAAUUUCAAAAUUAUAUGGCCGGGUAUGACUACUACCUAUGUAUCCAAAAGGAAUCAGGCCAGAACGUAGUUCGAUUAUAAUUGAUGACCGAAUCCGAUAUGGAUUUCCUACGUAUUCCUAUCAAAGGAAAUUAAGUCGCAGUGUAGUUUCGAAUAUGUCAUGACACCAAUUUCCCACCAUAGGAUAUCGUGAUGGUACCUAGUCUCUAAGACUAGGUAAGCCUAACAUGCAUAGAAAAAUAGCGAAAAUAAUACUAAAUCUUCAAAUUAAACAUCGACACUAAUAUAAUAAUUCCACAAUACAAUAACCAACAUUUCCCCAAAACUCGGUGGAACGGAGCCAUAUGCUCUACAAGAAAGUACUAAUAGUCUCGAAAUACAAUACUGUUUGAAACAAGAAGUAAACAAUAUAAUCUUUAAUACAGAAGGUGACUCCGAGGCCUGCGAACGUCGAGCAGGUAUACCUUGAAGUCUCCAAAAGCAACUACUUAACCAACCUCAAGCGUCCAACAUGGGCAGACGUACCUGGAUCUGCAUAAAAAACAUAUGCAAAAGUGUAGUAAGAGUACACCACAAAGGUACCCAGUAAGUAUCAAGCCUAACCUCAGUAAAGUAGUGACAAGGCCGGAUAAAGACACCUACUAGGACAUAAAAAAUAGAAUGAAAAUAUAAUAACGAGAAGUAGUGAAAAACAGAGAAAUAAGUAAUAUGAAACAAGUUAAUAACAUAGGCUAAUGACAGGAUUGUAAGUAGAGGGAUAUCAUAAAGGAAGCAAUUAAAGAGAACCACAAUGAUCAUAUACAGAUAAAACUAAUAAAAAAAGGAAAGAACCAAAUAACAAGAAGUGUUUCCACCCAUAACUCUUUGCAACAUGAGAUAAACAACAAGAAUCACAAACGAGGUACCACCUCGUGUAUAAUAAGAAUCACAACCGAGGUACCACCUCAUAUUCACAUUUCUCAAUUUCAAUUACAAUCUCUCCUUAUACCGCUGUGUAAGCCUUACAUAUAAAUAGUUUUGAAAACAUUAUUCAAGAAAUAACCCAUCACUACUUUCAGCCCAUGGUUAGUCCUGUUACUUCUUGAGUACAUUGGGUCGGUUGUACUCAUACUAUACUUUGCACUUCGUGUGCAGAUCCAGAUACUUCCGAACAUGACAGUUGCUAGAUUUGGAGCUUCACUUACUUGGAUACUUUUGAGGUAGCUGCUUUAUCAUCCGCAGACCUCGACUCUCCUUCUUUUCAGUUUAUUUAGUACCGUUCUAUCUUUUUAGACAGUUGUAUUAGCAGUAAGACUGUGUUGAUAUUUUAGUAGCUCAUGUACUCAGUGACACUCGAAUUUUAGGGAUUUUUUAUUGAAUCGCGGUAUAUUCGUAUCAAUCAUUUAUUAGAUUUUUCACUGUUAAACCUGUUUCAUUAUGUUUUUCAUUCAAAAUACAUUCUUCUUGGUGAUUAUCGGCUUGCCUAGUAUUCUGAUAGGCGCCAUCACGAUAUGUGAGAUUUUGGGUCGUGACAGGGACUAAUCAUCACAGGAUGUGUCAGCCUUCCCAACAUUCUUGGACCUCGUCUAAUUUUUGGUGGUACCCCAGAGACAUAAAACUUCAAAAAAUUUAGAGUGGACUUUUCUUUAUUUGCUGCUUUGGGAACUUAUAACACCAGUUUUCCCAUGGACGUCUCCUCAGUUUUCAGGUUGGUUCUUUGGGCGGCAUGGAGUUCCUUUUUCUUGGUCUCUAUGACCACUUUUGGAUAUCCUUCUAGAUUAGCGAUAGCCGGCCACUACAGUUUUGAAAGUAGGCCUAUACUCCCUAUCAUUGCAUAUUAUUCCAAUCAAUGGUCUAUUGGUGUGGGGCAGGUAGGUGACUGUUGGUGACAUUGGGAGCUUCUUCAUCUCGGAUCACAAUGGCCUUGACCUCAAUCAGGUCUUCUACGACCUCUUUAAAGUCCAACAAUAUUUAGAAUCAUGACCUACAACAUCAUAGUGAUAUCACAUCUCGCAUGUGCUCUCAAUGAUAGAGAAUCAGGGUUUGCCUUAUUCGAGGCCACUAGUUCCAAUAGACCCAAACAAGUUAAAUUUCUAAAAAGGCUUGAAUAAGACUCUCCAAUGAGGGUAAAAUUGUUUCUUCAUUACGGUUCCCUCAGACGGGGAUUAUAUUGUUGGACAUUCAGCUAGGGGCGUGGAUUAUAUGGGGCUUGGUAGUUUGUAUUUGGGGACAUAGAUUUCUAGGCGGUGGGCCCCGUAUCUGCUGGUUUGGUGGCCGUGUGUAGGGUUGUGCAUUCAUCACCAUGUAUUGCAGUGUGGCCACAACAUAGGAAGUUUCUUUGUGGAGAUAGUAGUGUUGGGGAGUUUUGGUUUGAAUGUUUGGGUGGAUAGGGACCCUCCGAACUCCCCGGGAGCUUGAUUCCAUCAUGACUCCCUCUUCCUUCUUUUUCUUAUUGGCCAAUCUUCCCGAGCCAUUUUGAAUGGCUUGGGAAGUGGCUUUGAGCAUAGAUUGGCUUAUAAUCCUUCUGGUCUUUAAAUCAUUUUUCACCAUUUCACCAAUCUUGAUUGCCUCAGCAAAAGGCUUUCCCAUGGCAGACAUCAUAUUCUGGAAGUAAUUUGCUUCUUGAGCCUAGAGGAAGACAUUUAUCAUUUCGUGAUCGUCCAUUGGUAGUUUAUCCCUCUCUGCCUUCUCCCUCCACUUAAUGGAAUACUUACGGAAGCUCUUAGUUAGCUUCUUCUUUAGGUUGGACAAUGAAUUGUGGUCGUAAUAUACCAUUCUGAUGUGACCCCAAUAAGGCUCUCUCCGAAAUAGGCCAUAAUCAGUUAUUCUUUUCCCUCGGCCCCUCUCACCUGAUUACUAUACUUCUUUAGGUGAUCAAUGGGAUCGCCGUGCCCAUAAUAGUUUUUAAAUUUCAGGGUCUUGAACCCAUGUGGCAUAUGCACAUACAGGUACAUGCACAUAUCAGCAAAGGACACACCUUUAUGGCCACUCAAACCCUAUAUGUUUUCCAUACUUUAUUUUAAACUCUUCAUCUUUCUAAGUAUUUCUUGUUGUUCAGCAUUGUUGGUUGGCUUUUCAACUUCAAAAGGGGGACCAUACUGAGGGAUCUAGUUUUAAAGGUUAGGGGCCGUAUAGAUCAUCUCAGGUGACAUGUGUGGUCCCUAAAGGGUAAUGAUUUUUGUUAGGCCUUUGGAUUCUCGGUUGCAGCAUAGUAUAGACUGGGACUGCAAUGAUGAACACUGGAGCAGCUCAGAGUAGGUAUGCCAGAGGACGGAUAUCACAAGACGUAGAGGCAUCAUUAUGGGGUGUAGGUCUGUAACCAUAGGGGAAGAAUGGGUCAGGUACAUAAACCUGGGUGAUGCAAGCUGUCCGUGGAAUAAUUUUGGGGAACCUUGGGAUAAAGCUAUGAGUAUUUCUUCGGUUAGACCACACCAUAUACAUUUUCAUCAUCCUUAUUUUCAAGAUCCUAUUUUUUAAGUCGUAGCAGAUUCUGGAGGAAUGGCAUGGGCUAGGCUUUCUUCGGGGAAGUCACUUUCAGUAGUCAUGGGGACGCUUCCUAUUGAUCGGGUAAAAUAAGAGUGUGAUGUCAGUGUACCACAAACAAACCACCAAUAGGAAACGUUUUCUUAAUUUGACACACACAAUAAACAUGUUAGUUUGGAGCAUUUGACAGAUAGGAAAUUGCACGUAGUUAUGCAAUGCACCUACCACUUUAACACCUCUAGCAUGUGUUUAAAAGGCUGCACGUGUCAUCCAGACUUGGCAAAUAUUCCACUUCUAAUUUAUUGCUCGCUUUUCUUAACCCCCUCUUUUCAUUUACUCACCCUCUAUUUUUUCCUCUUUUUCUCUUAAAUUCUCUUGAAUAAGGUUUUGAUCGCACCCUUUAGGGGUUGUCUACGUAUCAUGAUACCGCAUGAAUCUGAAUAUUACGUAUUUCAAUGGAGUAAACAUAAUAAAAUAAAAAAGAGAAUCCUCUUGGGUUUUUAAUAUUUCAUUAAAAUAAUUAUUUUUGGGUUUUCUAUUGUAGACUCGGGAUGAAUACAUAAAGGAAAAUACAAUAGAAAAAUCCUAUAUUACAUGACAAAUGACUCAAAGUGGAAAACAAAACAACAAGCUCUAAACUCUAAUAUUGCCAACUACCCUUGGCUAUCUCUUAUAUCACUGCCCUGGCAUGUUCCCUGUCUCUCCAUAGAGAACCUGCAAAUCAUUCAUGACCAGACGUGCAAAGCUCAUUACUUAAGCAAAAAACACAGCCUUGCUCAUUUUCUCACAAUGUGAACACUUCCAAGAGUUAUAUUCCACUAUUUCUAAGAUUCUUCUCUUAGCAUCCCUUUGAUCUUGGAACAUUUCUCGGAGUUGAACCACCUCUAAGUCUUGCUCCCGGGCUUGAACCACCUCUAAGUCUGUUUCUUUCUGUUUUUGCAAUUUUACCAUAUCACCUUCCAACUAGUUGAGCAAUUCAUAACAAUGACCUCUCUCAGCCUCAAACUCUUUGGACUGACGACUCAUGGAUUCUUCAACAGUAUUCAACUCGUUUCUUAAGCCACGGAUUUCUUCAUCAUGGUUUUGUUUAGAUUGGUAAGCCAAACUUAAGAGGUUUUCCAUAUCUUCUCCUAGUUGUAUUACUCUCUCCCUGGCCUUUUUCAAUUCUUUCUCGAUUUUUGCCAAGAUAACAUCAUAAUCUUGUACCUUUUCCAUCAGAUUUGCAAUGGUUCUUGGCCUUUUUAGCUUCUGGUUGGUACCUUAGGUGCAUUCUUAAUCUUUUGGAGUUGAGCUCGGACGGUCUCAUUUUCAUGGAUCAAUCUCUUUCUCCCCCCACCCCCCCCCCCCGACUUCUUGAGCUUCUAGAUUUUUCUCAAAGUUAAGUUCCCUAAUUUUUCCUUGCAGUGAUUCAAUAGUAGUUUGAUAGUCUUUUUUCCUUUUCUUCCUUGGUCUAUCGCUCUUGCAUUUUAUCAUUGAAAUUAUGGACACGUGACCUCUUUGCAGGAAUCUCAGGCUCAUCAUUCAUACAAAAUCUUUUACUUAACCAUGUUGAGUACCCCGGUUCUGCCUCACCCUUUGCCGAAUCUUCCACUUGUGUAUCAGAAUUCAAAAAAUGGAAUCCAUCCAAAAUUUGAUGAAUUAAACUUUCAGGAAGUGUGGCCUCUAGAUAUAUCUCAAUUAAUUGAAUGCUCAUAUCUUCAUCAUCGGGCACUACUUGAUACCUACCUAGAUGGUAUAGGACUCUGUGUGGGACAUAAGGUUUGACACUUCGGAGACCCAUUAAUAAAAGAUAACUUUUGAGAGCAAACAUAUGUAUACCCUCUCUCUCUGGGACCCAUCCCAAUGUUCACUCAAUCUUAUUUUGUGGCUGGAGAUCUUAAGCGAGAUGUCCAAGCUUCCACCCUUAUAGAGAAUUAUAGUCAUUUACCCUUUCUUCAUAUUUCUUGAUGUAGUUAUUCACAUUUGGGCCAUGGCUCAUGUAUCUGGGGUGGUCACGAUGAUGCUCAACCAACAACAUCUGCAAGAGGAUACUAUAUCUUGUAAAGAAUUUUCCCCCAACUUUACACAAGGUCAAUGCUUGAUAAAUAUCAGGGAGUAUGAUUGGUGGAAGGGUAUGUUGGGAUUUUGUGGUCAAAACUUGUACCACUCUGGCUAUACGAGUCUCAAUCUUUUGUUCUUUAUCUAGGGAAACUAUUAUUCCCAAAUAUAUCAUCAUGAAGGAAAAACACCUGUGAAGCUCCCGUGCCUCUUUGCUUCCUCUGUUGCUAAGCCUGGUUCUAUAUACUUCAAAACUAUUUGGCUGCCCAAAUCAGGUAUAUAGAAACUGAAAUGACCACCAUCCCUAGUUCAAAUCUGUAUUUGUUUGCUUGCUAAUGUUCAAAGAUCUAAGAAUCGGUGAGAAGUGACAGUUCUUGAAAAUAUGAGCUUAAGAUUUCGCAAAUCCCAACCAAACCUAGUGUAGCCCUCUGUCUCUUCUAAUAUAGGAGUCAACUCAAAAUCGAAGAAAUGGAACACAUUAUGGGUCGGGUCCCAGAAAGGUAUCCACGCUUCUAUCUAGUCCCCCAAGGAUUUAACCUUUAUGAUGUCUUUCAAUGCCCCCAGACGUUUAGAGACCAACUUAUGUCUAUUUUUUCCCAAGUCAUUCUACCACAUGGUAUAAACCACCAUAACCCUUCAGAGAUCCAUCUACACAUAACAGGCCAUCAUAAUCAAAUACCUCCAAAUCAAUCAAAUUACGGUGGCUGUCAAGCCCGUAGGUACAACGACAAAUCACAUGUAUAGCUUAACAUAAUGAAAGAACUGAUCAUUUCCACAACCAUGCUGAUUCAACCCAUCACUAACUCACCCAACUUCUUCCGAUUUACUCUUGACUUGCCUUCGAAAUAAUAAUAGCUCCCUUAAAAUACAUAACAGACCUCAAACAACAUUAUCCCGAGUGACCCCAAAUCACGAGACCAUGUCGUCUCAAUAUCUGUAAGCCAUUUUAUACCCUCUUUAUGCACUCAAUAGUAUCUUCAACUGAUACACCGCGCUAAUUAGAUCUUCUGCAAAUCUGAAGUUAUUUCUCCCACUUCUCUAACACUACACCGCAUACCUAAUGAUAACAUAGAAUACUCUAAGUACCCUUCACACUCUGCUGCAAAACCUAGUAUUCAGCCAUAUAAAUCCUUAAGCACCACACCUUAAAUCUUGAAUCCACUAGGACCAUUAUUGAGAGUCUCCCACUCUAAUCCAGUCUCGAUUAUCUAACCAAAUAACUAGUGCUCCUUUAGAACAUGUGUACUCCCAUGAAGCAACCAGAUGAAUCCUUUUCCUUGCCCAUCACAUCCACAAAAGCAUAACUUCUGAGCCAUCCUCAGCACCUGCACACGAAUCAAUAAGGCGAAAUGUAACACAUAUACAUCAAACUUCCUUAUCCAAAAUUUCUCGUCCUCUUGGUCAUAACUAAUCCACCAAUGCACCGACAACCCGAAACUAUACAGGCACACGUCCACGUGACUCACUUAUAGACGGCGGGCUCCCCCCACUUAGCUUUACACUACAAUCACAUAGAUCUAAACCCCACAAUGACCACUUCUUCCUAUUUACCAUGAUUCCAUACUGUUGCUCAGCCAAAUUCCUCAUAAGUUCUUAUUGGACUAAUCAUAACACAUCCCGAAUUAUCUGCCACAAUCAUACACUCGACCUCUAACCGUCGUACCAUCUUCUUUAAGCGAUCCAACCUCACCUCGCCGUACAUUCAUCCCAUGUUGGGAAAAAAGCAGAACCCUUCGUAGGAGCCUCAUCAAAAAUCAUGCAAACGCUAACCUGCUCACAGGAGAUAUCCCACCUAUGUACCCUCAUCUCGACCUCUUCUAACUUCAUUGCUAUAGUUGCAUCCAUGAUGAAAUCAACUAACCUCCCUGGGUCCGCACUGAUCCUCUAUCCGUAAGAAUCCCUUCAUUUAUUAACAUCACUCGAAGAUGCAACAAUAUGUUAUCAAGCCCUUCUCGCCACAUUCAAAAUUUCCUAGGCAUAGAAACCACCUCAGAGAUCAUCUCCUUCGAGUCAUCAACACUGGAAAUGCCGAUUCGGUCCUGAACACGCAGCACACAACCAUUUCUGAUAACUUCCUCUUAGGUUCCAUCUCACGACACCGCGCCCAGAGGCAAACAAAUGAAGACCAACAUGUCGAUGAGCCCCAACUCAUUCAAUCAAGGACGACGACACUGCGAUAUUAACAAGAGUUCCACCAAAUUCGGAGAUAUCAAAUCUCAGUUGUAGGCAAUACCGAUGUUGGGCUGAAAUGAUGGAAUACUUCUCCACAAUGUGAUGAUAAUGGUCUGCCCGCAUUCGCAGGGAAUAGCAUCCUGCGCUGCAUCCGUAGCAUCUUCACAACUCGUCGGUGCCCAAUUGAUAACAAGCACUCCACACCAUAUAAGAAUGAGUAAGAAGGGAAUGAAGGCAUAAGCUUCAAUGGAACAAACUGCAUGACGAGGAAUCAAAAAUGGAAGUGCUCCUAACAACCUUGUAGUCUCUUGAAGAUAAGUACAGACGUCUCUGUACCGAUUCGCAAGACUCUACUAGACUUGCUCAUGACUCGUGAGACCGAAGUGAACCUAAUUCUCUAAUACCAAGCUGUCACGACCCAAAAUCCACUGUAGGCCGUGAUGGCACCCAACAUCGUUAUUAGGCAAGCCAAUGCUUAAUUAUUCAUUUUAUUAUUUUUAAAAUCAAUAAUCUUAUUUAGAUAGAUAGGUCAGUGCAUUAAAAUAAAUCGUAGUUACAUACCUUUAAUUAAAAUAAUAAGUAAAAGUGUAUCAAUGUAAAACAAUCCAUAAGAAUUCUAGAACACCGCCAAAACUCGGUGUCACGAGUGCAUGAGCAUCUACUAGAAGGUAAAAUAACAAUUCAACAUCUAUGUGGAAUACAAGUUAGACAGGAAAAUGUAAAUAUUUUUGAUGGAGACUAUAUGUUACGGAUCGUAACAUGAGAUGUAGUUCACCAUAAAGUUCCCGCAAUAGUCGCGCCUUUGUGCCCAAAAGACCACCAGAAAUAUAUACCUGCACAAUAAGUGCAAAAGUGUAGCAUGAGUACGUAAAUCAAUGCCUGCCUAGUAAGUAUCUAGCCUAACCCCGGAGAAGUAGUGACGAGGGGUCGAUAUCGAUACUUACUAGUGGUCCAAUAAAUCAAGUACAGUAGAAAGUAAAUAAAGUAUGAGGCAUGGUAAAUAAGUAGUGUAAGCAAAUAUAGGUACAUGGUACGAUCCUUCUCUUAACGGUAAACACUAGCUCUAAAUUAUCGGAUACCUCCUCAACCGGAGUGUGUGUGUAUGUAUAUAUAUAUAUAUAUAUAUAUAUAUAUAUAUAUAAUGUUCCCCACCAAAUAGGUCGUCACAACCUAAAUCAGAAAAACUCACGGAUACACUGGCUUCUUGUCAAAUAUUACUCACAAUUCUGCCCAGGCGAACGGCCCGUAUCCCAUAAUAGUAUUUCAUGAAGUUGCCGAGGCGAACGGCCCAAUCCCAUAGGAGUGUUUUAUAGAAAUGCCGAGGCGAACGGCCCGAUCCCAUAAGAAUGUGAUACAUGAUACUUCCGAGGCGAACGGCCCGAUCCUAUAAGAAUAUGAUAUUGCCGAGGCGAACGGGUCGAUCCCAUAAGAAUAUGAUACUGCCGAGGCAAACUAACCGAUCCCAUAAGAGUGUGUUACAAUAUCCUACCAAGGCGAACGACCCGAUCCCAUAAGAGUGUAGUACAUAAUCUUGCCGAGGCGAAUGACCCGAUCCCAUUAGAAUAAGAAGUUUUAACAGGUCCUUGACUCCACUCACGAAUAUACGUGUGAGUUAUGAAAUUCAAAGAAGCUUUUCGAUGAAAACGCACAACGCGAGAGAAAUUCGUAAGGUAAGCACAAUUAUUCUGCGGCUAAUCAAGUAGCUUGCCAAAUCUCUUACAAUAGCGAGUCCAUCACUCUACACAAGCAUAGUCUUAGGUUAUAACGCGUAAUCAAGUAACUAGGCAGGCAAGAAUAACUCAACUAGUAUAAAUAAAGCAUGGCGUGAAUCCUAGUCUACCCAGACAUAAUCAGGAAUUCUAGCAUGCGCACGGGCACUCGUCACCUCAUACGUGUGCAGAUCCCACAACACGUAGCAUAUAAUAAGAAUAACACCUACAGGAUAACUUCCCUCUCACAAGGUUAGACAAGAGACUUACUUCACUCCAAAGUUCCAUAACCAGCUCCAAUGCCUCUCUAACUCCUCGACUCAAAGACAAACGAUCUGAGACUAGUCAAAUAACGUUUAAAUCAAUCUAAGUAUACUCCAAUGCUUACAAUUUAACAAUUUAUAUUGAUUCCCAACUCCACUAGAAAAGUAAACAAAGUCAACCCUCGGGCCCACGUGUUCGGAUUCCGAAAAUUUUCGAAGAUAAACAUUACACAUAAUACCACGAACUCAAAUAUAUAAUUUAUUCCUAAUUCCAUAUCCAAUUUCUUGGUCAAAAUCUAAAAGUACCAUUUAUAGGUUUUCUCGCAAAAAUUCCAUAAUAUUUAUCAAAUUUCCAUGUUAAAAUCCAUAUAUAACCCAUGUAUUUAACUCAAAACAAGUAGGAAUAACUUACCUUAUGAUAUAUGGCAAAAAUGAUCUUCAAGAAUCGCCCCACAUGAGCUCCAAGAACUUAAAGGUGAUGAAAUGAGCUCAAAAUCCCGAAAUUAGAUAUUUAAUACACCUGCCAAACCUCCUUCUUCGUGAUCACUGACAUUAUCCAUGCGAUCGCGAUUAAUAAAAGGUACAGUAUAAUUUGCCUUCAUCGCGAUCGUGGCCAAAACGUCGCGAUCACGAUGUACAAAUCACUAACAGGAGAAAAUCCUUCUACGCGAUCACGAAUUUCCUUUUGCGAUCGUGAUUCAAUAGGCAUGGAGAAGAACUUUGCUCUACAUGAUCGCGGCCCUUUCUUCGCGAUCGCGAAGAAGGAUGCACCAGAUCUCAAAAACAGCAGCUGAAACAUGGCAAAAUGACCCACAGCCCAUCCGAAACACACCCGAGGCCCCCGGGACCCCGUCUAAUCAUACCAAUCAUUGCCAAAAAAUGAUGCAAACUUUCUCAAGGUCACAAAUCAUACCAAACAAUCUCCCAACCAUGAAUCGACGAUCAAAAUACCUCUUUCAACUUUCAAACAUUCAAACUUCAUCGAGCGCAUCCUAAUUACACUUAAGCAUUCCGGAAUGAUACCAAACUUUAUGUGCAAGUCACAAAUCACGAUACGAACCUAUUCCAAGUUUAGAAAUCCCAAAUAGACAUCAAUAAAAUCAAAGUUCACUUCAAAUCAAUCUUAAAAAAAUUCUAAAAUCUUCGAAAUGCCAAAUUUCCAUAAUAAGCGCUGAAAUGCUUUCGGACCACCGAUACUCAACCCGAACAUACGCCCAAAUCUGAAAUAGUUAUAUGAACCUAUUGGAACCAUCAAAUCCUGAUUCCGAGGUCGUUUACUCAAAUGUCAAACCUUGGUCAACUCUUCCAACUUAAAGCUUCCGAAUUGAGAAUUUUUUAACUCCGAACUUCUCAAAAUUUGAUUCCGACUACGCGUUCAAGUCAUAAAAUAUGAAGUGAAGCUACUCAAGGUCUCAAACAGGCGAAUGAUGCACUAGAGCUCAAAACGACCAGUCGGGCCGUUCUACCUAUAUUACAAUAUAUAAUGUAUACUAAAUUAUGAUCUACAAAACAAGUUGAGAUUCUAGGUAAGGGUUCAAAUUAUCUCGAGGGGAAGGUGUAAGCCAUCUCUUAAGAUCCACAAAAUAUGGUUCUGGUGGAAUCGAUCAAAUAAAUAAGGGACUAGGGAUAAGUGUGAAAGUGAGUUCCAGAUAAAGAAUAACAAAAUAUUGAACAAAAUAUAUGUGCAAUAAAGUCUAGUAUGUGAAAGAAUUAAAAAGGAUAUUAAAGAAUGGUACUUUAGUGUAAAUUGAAUAAUAUGAAAAGAAUUGUACCUAAAUAGUGCAUGUUAACCCAAUGUGUUUGAAAAAAAUUUGAACUCAUUAGAAUAAACAUAAAGAGGAAACGACUCAUAAUUAGAGUUAAAGACGUUUUAGAUGGAUGACUACAACAAGAGAAAAACUUACACUAAAGGUUUGAGAAAGGAGAAAGAAUAUUUAUUUGUACAUGAAAAAAUAGUUAGUAAGUAAUUUAACCAAAAAGUGGAGGAAGAAUUAUCCUCAGAUAAUCGUAGUGUAUAAUGGGUAAAACGAAAGAAUUUAUUUGAUGAAUAAAUAAUUGAUUUAAUGAAUAAAUACGAUAUAAGAAACUAUAUCAAGAUGUUUAUGAUAUUAAAAAAUCAUUAUAUCAAUAUAAAAGAAUUAUUUGCAUUAGCAAUUGAAUGGUCAUUUAAUGAGCAACCAAAGGCCAUCUUAAGAGUCACGGUCUUGAAAUACCAAUUGUUUGUCAAACCCAAAUGACCACAAGACCCAAGUCUCUCAAAGAAAGGUAUGAUAGUCCAACUAUAAUUUUCAACUUAAGAUGCAUCAAUUAAAGAACAAUUACAUAUGAAGUGAUUCGAAAAGCAUGCUAAUAUAAUUUUAAGAGAACGACAAAAUUAUUUAUUUUCGUUAUUUUUUGAAAGAAGAUGACAUACUUUCAUUUUUAUGUAUAUGACUAAUUUAACUAGUUAGGUCCUAAGUUAAUUAAUCAUGUCAUAAGGUGCAUUCAACAUCCCAUACAAACUUCAAGAUUUACCUAAUGCAUAACAUUGCAAGUUAACCCGAUUAUUAACUUGAUGCAGUUCGUCCUAAGUGUUUAACAAAUAGGUGAUAUCAAAGCAAGCAGGCACAUACAACAUUUAUAUACGACUUUACUAUACUUUACGUUUUAGGUACAUCCGAGAACCAGAAGUACGAAGCGGGGAUUUGAUGAGGGAUUCGUCUUUAAUCUUUCUCCAAAUAUGGUCUUUCGAAAGUGACUUCGUAUCAUAGUACCUCGCAAGACACUAGAAGUAAAAUUAUUAGUAAAAUACAAAAUAAACAAUAAACUAAUUUAUUUUUUGAAAUAAAUUUAUUUGAAAAUGUUUUUGGAAGAUAUUUUCUGCAAAUAGUUCGAAGAUGUUAAUGAGAAAUUGUUUUUGAAAAACAAUUUUGAAAAAUAGUUUAAAAAAUAAUAUAGGAGGCUCAGAUAUGCAUUUUUCGUUAUCCGUCUUGACAUGAGAAUAUGAACCUCCUUGGUUGCGACUACGGCGGCCCACCCUCCAAAGGUUUUAUUGGUUUAUCGCGUCCUCAUCUUUUAUUUUUUGAUGUUUAUCAUCAUUGCCUCGUUAUUUUGGGCCCGGUUUCGAGGGUCAUUCGGGGCGUCGUGGCCUCAAAAGAUUAUUCUCAUCACCCUUCGAUGUAAAAUCAUUCAAAUUUGAUGCACAUCCGUUCAUCAUUAGUAAUAAACAACACGAAAUAUACGAGUAAAACAAUAUCAAAAUAUUGUCGAACCAUCAUUGAAUUGUAAGCGUCAAAUAUGUAAUAACAACAACAAUGAACUUACCGUCAAAUUCCGCAAAAUUUAGAGUCAAAGCGUCGCUAAACAAGCUGAGAUGCAAAUAGCAACAGAGUUACCAACACCACGAAGGGACAGAAGUAUCAUAGAACGUUCAUCAGCGAUGCACACAUGUUUGACUACAAACAAAAACACAAAAUUUGGGAAAGAACAAGAAACCCUAAAAUCACAGUCCAACAAUACAACGACGGCAGUGACGAUAGAACUAGGUGGUCGCAAGGCGAUUUUCCUGCGACCUCCAACAACCCAAGAAUUAUUUCGCCUGAAAGAGAUAGACUGACGGGGAGAGUACAACCAGUAAAUAACAAAGAAAAAAUAAUCAGAGGCAGCGACAAUUGUGUCACUCAACGGCAAGUACGCCAUAGAAUUUAUUCCGGCUAGAUCCAGUCAGUGAAGAGGUCGAAGCUCCCCAUUCCAACAACCACGACAAGGAUCGCUCGAGCAUCCAUUAUUUCCGGUCAGCCAAAACACAAAGGCUGUCAAAAAAAGAUCAAGCCAAAUCACGUUUUUGCUCCAUCAAACUCCCAAAACAAACGAGAAGGGGAUGAGAAGAAGAAAGCAGAGCCGCAGUGGCAUCUCAUCGAGGUCACCAGCCAGUUGGUGGCCAAAUCCAGCGGCGGGUGUGGCAGUCAAUAGCGAGGGAAAAAGAGAGUGGGGAAGUGAAACAGUGGUGCAACGUUGGCCAUGGCUAGCCGAUAGUGACGUCUGACCGAAGAUGGAGGCUGAGGGAAGCAGCAACCUUCUUUGAGAGAGAUGAGAGCUCUUAAAAAUGGGUGGGGCGGUUGUUAUCAAGGAAAUGGGAGGAGUCCAAAUAAUAUUGGGGUUUUAGGGUCUUUUAAAAUUUGAUUGUGGGGGUGUGGCGUGUAGAUAUUUUUAUAAUGUGUCUUUGUAUAAAAAUAUGUGGACUCAAUUUAAAGUUUAAAAAAAGGGUAAAAUAUAAAAUAUAUAUGGACAAAAUACAUAAGUUACCUCCUAAACUAUGGACCAAAUCCCUUUUACGCAUUUUUUGUGGAUAAACAUUACUUUACACACUCAUCCUUUCCAAAGUGAAACUAAGACACACCACUUUUGUUAUGUCACACGCACGUGUUGACCAAAAAAAUCUAAGCGCGUAAAACUGUGAAUUAUCUGUCCCAAACAUUAUUUAAAUAACAUGUGUCAAACUUUCAAUAUAUUUUUUUUAAACACUAUUUGGUUCAUUAACUUUGACCUCAUCCCUUCCCUGAUUUAUCUUAUCAAGAGCCCCUCCCCUUUGUGUUAGUCCACUGAAACUCCCCCUCCCCCAUUUUCGUCUUCUACCACACUCUUUUUUUCCAUCUUCUCUCUCGAUAAUUUUAAGAAAAAUAAUAAUGUAAAAGGAUUUGGAAGAAAUUGAUAAAGAAAAUUAAGUGGACCCUAUAACUAAGAUAAUUCUGUAGAUCUGGGUUUGAUUGCUUAUUUUUACCUAAUUUUUGAAGAGUAUAUUAGGAUCAUUUUCUUUGACCUCUCGACAGGUUGAGCAAAAUAAUAUCCUCUGCUCUAUUUUAGGAAAUACAUGAGACCUUCCUCUGCUUGAUAUGUUAUGAAAGAUUUUUGUUGUGAAAUGAUCUCUUACACAAUCAACAUUCAUUAAAAGAAUUUAGAGAAAAGUUAAAAUUAAUGAAAACUCCGACAACGUCUUUCUUUAAUGGUGUUUGGAGUUUUGGGUCAUCAUUUUUAUGUUAGAUUCGAAUUCCGACUUCAAAACUUGGGAUUAAUCUGUUUGGGCAUCUAAUUUUGGUUUGUAAUUGGAAGGUGAUAAUUCUGGUUUUUUUAUGGUGGUCGGCGGCAAUGGAGAUGAGGCGGAGAAGAGAGAGAUUGAGGGGGAAGGUUGAGGGGUAUAUUUGUAAUUUUAAAUUGUUUUAUUCUUAAAAAAUUAAUGACACGUGGCAUAAUAUUAUUAGUGCGUGAUAUUACAUAUGUUUUAAAAAAUUGGUCAAGAAGAAAGUGGUGUGUCUUAGCUACACUUUAGAAAGGUUGAGUGUGUAAGGUAAUUUUUAUUCGCAAAAAGUGUGUAACAGGGAUUUGGUCCAUAGUUCAGGGGGUUAUUUAUGUAUUUUGCCAAAAAUAUGUGAUCAAAAUGAAAAGAUGUAAUGUCACAUUAUGUCACGUCAUUAUCAUGUCACAUCAAUGUCUAGUAAUUUAUUUAAAAUGUAACUACUAUAAUGGUGUUAUAGUAAUUAUUAUUUUAUUUUUUAAAUGAUAAUAAAUUAAUAAAUAUCAUAAUAUUUGAAAAAUAGGACAAUUAUCAAUAAAUUAUUUGAAAUUUAGAAAAAUGCACAAAAAUGGUAGUGUUAACUAAUUGCAAUAAAAAUGUUAAAAAUUCCUAUAUUUUGUAAAAAUAGGAAUAAUUAUCAGUAAAUUGCAUUAAAGUUAAAAAAAUAUGCAAAAAUGCUAUAUAUUACUAUUUUAUGACUAGGAAGCAUGUAGAAGUUAAUUUCAAAUACGAAGGGUAACCGCUGCCCCUCUUUGACCGGAGAUGAUCUAAGAGUCUUCAGGCAAAGAAAUUGACACCAAACACAAUUUUGACCCGACAUGACAGGGAGGGGAGUAGAGGAUGUUUUAAAGAUUGUGACCGAACUCUGGUUUCUGAGUUUCCUACAUGUCUCGGGUUGCACGAGAAUCAGGUCACGUGUAUGAGUACUAGUUAUGAAUCGUAAUCUCAUGGAAUAGAAGGCAAAUGUUCGAGGAUUAAAAGUUUCACAUGGUCUCGACAUUGCUUCCAAAAUUUUCACAGUGCCAGAUUGUGGUAACACUAGGACGUGGGUGUUGGACGAUGGAUGGAUUGAUUGAAUGGAUUUUGACGCGCUUAUGGCCGGGCUCUAUGUUGAGUUUUCCUACAUAACUCGAAUGUAAUGAGAAUCAGACAGAUUGUAGUUCGGGAAGGCAAUAGGGUGAUUUGAUUUUUGAUUUUGAAAAUUGGUCCAGUAUCAAGCUGUGAUGACACUGAGUGUUUUAUUUGACUAUGGGGGUUUAGAUUACCUACGCAUCCCAUUUUAAUGGGAAGUAAGAACGAUACUUGGGAUGUAACGACCUGGCCGGUCGUUUUGAGUGUUGCAACCUCAUUUCCCCAUUUACUGCUCAUUUUAUGCUUAAUUAUUGUUAUGUGAUUUGCUGGGGUAGUUGAUACGGUUACGGGGAUGUUUCAAAAUUAGACGAGACACUUAGUCUCAAGGUUGGAAGCUUAAGUUAAAAAGGUUGACUGGAUGUUGACUUAUGUGUAAAUGACUCCGGAAUGGUAUUUUGACGGUUCUGAUAGCUCCGUAGAGUGAUUUUAGACUUAAGAGUGUGUCCGGAUAGUGAAUCAUAGGUCCGUAGUUGUUUUAAUAUUGAAAUCGCAAGAAUUAGAAAUUAGAAGUCCUGGAAAUUGAGAUGUUUGACCAAGAGUUGACUUUGUGGUUACCGGGCCUUGGAUUUUGGUUUCGGGAGUUGGAAUAGGUCUGAAGUGUCAUUUAUGACAUGUGUGCGAAUUUUGAGGGCAAUUGGACGUGAUUUGAUAGGUUUCGGCAUCGAUUGUAGAAGUUGGAAUUUCCUAAUUUUUAUUAGGCUUGAAUUGAGAUGCGAUUCUUUUUUUUUUAAUGUUCUUUGAUGUGAUUUUAGGGCUUGACCAAGUUCGUAUCAUGUUUUAGGACUUGUUGGUAAAUUUUAUUGAGGUCCCGGGGGCCUCGGGUGGUGUUCGGAUGGUUAACGGAUCAAGAUUGAAAUCGAAGGACUGCUGUAGUGCACCAGGUCUGCUGCGAUUGCACCUGCGGAGUUUUGAUCUCAGGUGCGAGCUUGCAGAAGUGAGCAGGGGAGCGCAGAAGCGGCCUGGAAAGGGGUGUGUAGUGGUCGCAAGUGCGAGGGUAUUUCCGCACCUACUUGGUCGCAGAUACGCGUAUGGGCGCAGAAGCGGAGCUCAGUGAAGAGGCUUCGGAGCACAGAUGCAGAGGAAGUUCUGCAGAUGCAGACUCGCACCUGCACAUAUGUAGUUGCAGAAGCGGAGGCAGUGGCUUUUGUGGUAACCGCAGAAGCAGACGAAAUGCUCGCACCUGCGAGACCGCAGAUGCGGCUAAGUGAGUCGCAGGUGGCAAAGCACUGGCAGAGUUUAAAUUCGAAGGGUUCCGAGGUUUUAAUCAUUUUUGGACAUUUCAAGCUCGGGCUAAGGCGGUUUUUGAGAGGGAUUUCGAGGGGUUUCUUGAGGUAAGUCACUUGUGAUUAUUUGUAAUCAAUAAUAUUGUUUCCCCAUUGAAUUUUUCACCUAGUUUGUGUGUGUUUUGAGGUGGAAUUUUGGGAGUUUGAGGCUAGGGAUUUAGAAAGUUUAAUUUGGGGAUUUGACUGAUGAUUUGGUCGCGGAAUUCGGUAAAUUUGUUAUAGUUGGACUCGUGGUUGAAUGGGUGUUCGAAUUUUGUAACUUUUAUUAGAUUCCGAGAUGUGGGCCCGGGGGUUAACUUUUGAGUUGAUUUUUGACUUUUGAUUAAGAACUUAGUAUUUUCAUAUGAAAUUGAUUCCUAUAGCUUGAGUUGAUCGUAUCGAAUUGUAUCUGGGGUCAAGAACUUAGCUUGUUGGAGUAGAGAUUUGCACAAUUUGAGGUAAGCAACACUUCUAAACAUGGUUCAGAGAGUAUGAAACCCUGAAUUAAGUGCUAUGUGAUUGAUGUUGAGGUGACGCGCAUGCUUGGUGACGGGCGUGUGGACGUGCACCGUAGUAAUUGUGAUUUAGUCGAUUCCAUGGAACUGUGUAGCUAUCUUAUUUGAACAUUUUUAAUGUACUCUAUGUGUUAGAGCACUUGAGCUGUGAUUUAUGCUAGAAAUCUUGUUUAGGCAAUAUGCUGGUACUAUUGGGACCCACAGUGGUCGUUCUUUGCUGUUGAGUUAUUUGCUUAAUUGCAGUUAUGUACUCAGUCACAUUUAUCAUGACAUAUUAUAUCUCACUCUUUGUUAUCGUAUAUUGUCACAUCUCGUAUCAUUUAUUAGGGCUACUUAGCAUGAGUGUUGUGAGCCUGAGAGACUGCAGAGAUUGAUGACUGAGUGAGGCUGAGGGCCAGUUGUGAGUGAUAUUUAUGGGAUCGGGCUGCACACCGUAGCAGACUUUAUUGAUUCAUGCCAUGAUUUGGCUUAUUAAAGCGCUUGGGCUGGAUCUGCCCCUCCGUAGACUGCACACCCACACUGAGCGCAGUUCCUAUUGAUUCAUUUGCAUUGGACUGGAUCUGCCCUGGAUUAUUUGCAUUGGGCUAGAUCUUCCUUUGAUUUAUUUGCAUUUGGGCUGGAUCUACCCUAUACAGUGCUGAGUGAUUGAGUGAGAAUUGAGACAGUCAGGUUAUGUACUCAGAGAGUGUAAGUACGCGAGGCUUAUAUUGCGUUGCAUUACAUAUGAUAUGCAUAACUGACAUGUAGAUAUCAAGGCAUAUCAUUUCUUAUUUCAGUUAUACCUGACAUGUCUUACUUAUUUGAGCUUUAACUGUUAGAUUGAAAGCAUGUCUAUAUUUUCUGUACUGUAGCUCUAUAAUUUGACUGUACUUGUAAGACUCGUCACUACAUUCAUUCCAAAGGUUAGAUUUUUUCAUUAGUGAGUUGGUUGUACUCACGCUACACCCUGCGCUUCGUGUGCAGAUCCAGUUAUUUUCGGGCACGGUGGUUGCUGAUUCUCAGAGAUUAUUGAGGUUGCUGGCCUAGUGUCCGCAUACCUUGACUCUCCUCCCCUAUUCUUUAGUUUUACUUAUUUAGUUUCAGUUUCUUAGACAGUGUCUUAGAAUUGUGUUGUAUACAUGUUCACGUACUUAGCGACACCCUGAUUUUGGGAAAGUAAUGUAUCGAGUUGUGACAGAUUUAUCUGGUUGAUGAGAUCUUUUACUUAUUUAAAACCUGUUUUAGUAUAUUUUAAAUUUGAAAGUGUUGGAAGUGUCUGAGUUGUUGCCUUGCCUAGUAACAUGAUAGGCAUCAUCACGACGGGUUUAGUUUUAGGUCAUGAAAAGUUGGUAUUAGAUCCUAGGUUAUAGGUCUCACGAGUCAUGAGCAUGUUUAGUAGAGUCUUGCGGAUCGGUAAGGAGACGUCUAUACUUAUCUUCGAGAGGCUGUCAAACCCUUAGGAAAACUUCACAUUCUUGUAUUCUUGUCAUGCGAAUUUAUUGAUUCCAGGACAAACAUUUAUGUUAUUCUAUUCUCUCACAGAUGGUGAGGACACGUACUACCAGACCGGACCGGACAGCUACAAGUACCACCAGCUAGGGCCGCGAGAGAUAGGGGCCGUGGUAGAGGCCGAGGUGCAGCUUGUGCAAUAGCUAGAGUAGCACCUGCAGAUCCACCAGUUUCUCCAGCUUAGGAGCCGGUUCCAAAUGUGGUUGAGCCAGUGGGGCCAGCCUAGGCACCAGCUGUGCCCAUUGUGAUUCCAGGACUUCAGGAGGCUUUGGCUCAGAUAUUGACUAUGUGCAUUAGCCUUGCUCAAGCGAUUUCUGUUCAGACCAUGCCAACCACUUCUCAGGUCGGGAGAGGUACUCAGACUCCCGCCGCCUGUACUCCAGAGUAGGUAGUGCAGGGACUUUAGACACCGGGGGUAUUACCAGCCCAACCGGUUGCAGUUUCUCAGGCCUUGGUGGGUCCCAUUAUGUAUGAUGAGGAGCAGAAGAGGCUAGAGAUAUUUGAGAGGCUCAGGCCUCCAUCAUUUAGUGGGACUGAGUUGCAGGAUGCCCACGACUUCUUGGAUAGGUGCCAGCAGAUUCUUCGCACGACGGGUAUUCUGGAGACUAGUGGAGUCUCCUUUACUACAUUUUAGCGAUCAGGGGCUGCCUUUAGAUGGUGGGAGGACUAUGAGAGGCACAGGCCAGUCGGUGCAGCACCACUUACAUGGCAUGAGUUCUCUAUUCUCUUCUUGGAGAAAUUUGUGCCACCGAACCGCAGGGAGGAGCUGUGUAGGUAGUUCGAGCAGCUACGUCGGGAGGGCAUAUUUGUGACCCAGUAUGAGAUUAGAUUUUUAGAGUUGGCUCAUCACGCAGUUUUGUUUGUUCCCACUGAGAGGGAGAGGAUUAAGAGGUUCAUUAAUGGCCUCUACUAUCAGUUGCAUUUUUUAUGACUCAGGAAAGUGUAUCAGGUGCUACGUUCGACGAGGUGGUUGAUAUUUAUCAGUGGCUAGAAAUGGUUCGUAGUCACGAGCAUGAGGAGAGGGAGGCCAAGAGGACUCAUGGUUUGGGUAGUUCCUGUGGUGUUCCUUCUGGGGGAGCAGUCCUAGCACAGCAGGGGUUAUCCUUAUAAGCCUGCUAAGAUGGCUUGUCCAGUUCAUCGUGGUGCAUCAUCUAGCCAUGGUUCAUAUAUUUCCCGUCUGGGUCAGUCAUCUCUCAGUGCUCGUGCACCUUCAGUUCAGGGUUCAUCUACACCAGGUUAUUCUGGUAGUUAUUUUGGUUCGUGGGGUCCGCCUCAGUACUUGCCACCAUUUUCCGAAAGGGAUGGUUUUGAGUGUGGAGAGUUGGGUCAUAUGAAGAAGUAUUGUCCCCGCUUUAUGGGAGGUCUAGUUCAACAGAGGAGUCAGGCCACAACUUCAGCACCAGUUACUUCACCACCCGCCCAGCCAAUUCGGGAUGGGGCUCAGGCAGCUAGGGGUCGCCCUAGAGGGGGAGGCCGAUUAGGUGGCUGUCAGGAUCGAUUCUAUGCUAUUCCUACCAGGCCAGAUGUCGUUGCUUCAGACAUAGUGAUCAUAAGUAUUGUCUAAGUUUGCCACAGGGAUGCUUCUGUAUUAUUUGACCCUAGUUCCAUUUAUUUGUAUGUAUCAUCAUAUUCUGCUCGUUAUCUGGAUAUGCCCCGUGAGUCCUUAAUUUCACCUAUUCAUGUAUCUACGUUGGUGGGCGAUACUGUUAUUCUAGACCGUGUAUAUUGGUCGUGUGUAGUGACUAUUAGGGGAUUGGAGACUAUAGUUGAUCUCUUAUUGCUUGGUAUGGCUGAUUUUGACGUGAUCUUGGGUAUGGAUUGUUUGUCUCCAUGUCAUGCUAUUCUAGAUUGUCACGCUAAGACCGUGAUAUUGGCGAUGCCGGGGUUGCCAAGGGUUGAGUGGAGGGGUUCUCUAGGUUAUGUUCCUAGAAGGGUGAUUUCUUAUUUGAAGGCCCAACGAAUGGUUGGGAAGGGGUGUUUGUCUUAUUUGGCCUUUGUGAGGGAUGUUGGUGUUGAUACUCCUAACAUUGAUUCUGUUUCGGUGGUGCGAGACUUUCCAGAUGUGUUUCCUACAAACCUGUCGGGCAUGCCGCUCGACAGGGAUUAGGGCACGUGGUGGCUAGUAAGGGGAUUAAGGUGGAUCCAAAGAAGUAGAGGCGGUACAGAAUUGGCCCAGACCGUUCUCAGCUACUGAGAUUCAGAGCUUUCUUGGAUUUGCCGGUUAUUAUCGUCGCUUCGUGGAAGGUUACUCUUCUAUUGCAACACCUUUGACCAAAUUAACCUAUAAGGGUGCUCCUUUUAGGUGGUCGGAUGAGUGUGAGGAGAGCUUUCAAAAGCUCAAGUCUGCCUUGACAAUAACUCCAGUUCUAGUUUUGCCUUCGGCGUCGGUCUUUUAUACAGUAUAUUGUGAUGCUUCUCGGAUUGGUAUUGGGUGUGUCUUGAUGCAGCAAGGUAGAGUGAUUGCUUAUACUUCACGCCAGUUGAAGCCCCAUGAGAAGAACUACCUUGUUCAUGAUUUGGAGUUGGCAGCCAUCGUUCAUGCAUUGAUUAUUUGGAGGCAUUAUCUCUACGGUGUGUCUUGUGAGGUAUUUACGUAUCAUCGAAUUCUCCAAUACUUGUUCAAACAAAAGGAUCUAAAUUUGAGGCAGCGCAAAUGGUUGGAGCUACUAAAGGACUAUGAUAUUACCAUUCUUUAUCAUCUUGGGAAGGACAAUAUGGUGGCCGAUGCCUUGAGUAUAAAGGCGGUGAGCAUGGGUAGCCUUGCAUUUAUUCUUGUUGGUAGGAGACUGCUUGUAGUUGAUGUUCAGGACUUGGCCAACUAGAUUGUGAGAUUAGAUGUUUCGGAGCCCAGUCGGGUUCUAGAUUAUGUGGUUUCUCGGUAUUCCUUAUAUGAUUGCAUCAGAGAGUGCUAGUAUGAUGAUCCCUAUUUGCUUGUCCUUAAGGACAUGGUUCAGCACAGUGAUGCUAAGGACAAUACUAUUGGGGAUGAUAGGGUGUUGAGGUUGCAGGGUCGGAUUUGUGUGCCAAAUGUAGAUGGGUUACGUGAGUUGAUUCUUUAGGAGGCCCAUAGUUCGCGGUAUUCCAUUCAUCCGGGUGCCAGAAAGAUGUACCAGGACUUGAGGGAGCACUAUUGGUGGAGGAGGAUUAAGAAGGAUAUAGUGGGGUUUGUAGCUCGGUGCCUAAACUGUCAGCAUGUGAAGUACGAGAAUCAGAGACCAGGCGGAUUGCUUCAGAGGCUUGAGAUUCCCAAGUGGAAAUGGGAGUGUAUCACCAUGGAUUCUGUAGUUGAACUCCUACGGACUUCGAGGAAGUUUGAUUCUAUUUGGGUGAUUGAGGAUCGGUUGACCAAGUCCGCGCAUUUCAUUGCAGUUGGGACCACCUAUUCUUCGGAGCGGUUGGCUGAGAUCUGCAUCCGCGAGAUUCUUCGCCUUCAUGGUGUGCUAGUGUCCAUAAUUUUACAUCGGGGCACGCAGUUUACAUAAUAGUUUUGGAGAGCAGUGCAGCGAUAGUUGGGCACCCAGGUUGAGUUGAGUAAAACAUUUCAGCCUCAGACGGACAGACACUCCGAGCGCACUAUUCAGAUAUUAGAGGAUAUUCUACGCGCUUGUAUCAUAUAUUUCGGGGGUUCAUGGGAUCAGUUUCUGCCGCUUGUAGAGUUCGCCUAUAACAACAACUACCAAUCGAGCAUUCAGAUGGGUCCGUAUGAGGCUUUGUAUGGGAGGCAGUGUCGGUCUCCGGUGGGUUGGUUUGAGCCGGGUGAGGCUAGACUAUUGGGCACUGACUUGGUUCAGGAAGCUUUGGACAAGGUUAAAUUGAUAUAGGAUCGACUUCGCACCACGUAGUCCAGACAGAAGAGCUAUGCCGACCGGAAGGUUCACGAUGUUGCUUACAUGGUGGGGAAGAAGGUACUAAUCAAGGUUUCACCCAUGAAAGGUGUUAUGAGGUUCGGGAAGAAGGUCAAGUUGAGCCCUCUGUAUAUUGGGCCGUUUGAGGUAAUGCAGAGGAUUGGAGAUGUGGCUUACAAGCUUGCCUUGUCACCUAGUAUGUUGAGUGUCCAUCCAAUGUUUCAUGUUUCUAUGCUCCAGAAGUAUGUCGGUGAUCCGUCUCAUGUUUUUGACUUCAGCACGGUUCGGUUGGAUGAUGAUUUGACUUAUGAUGUGGAGUCGGUGGCCAUUUUGGAUCGGCAGGUUCGAAAGUUGAGGUCAAAAGACAUAACUUCAGUGAAGGUGCAGUGGAGAGGUCAGCCAGUUGAGGAGGCUACUUGGGAGACCGAGCGGGAGAUGCGGAGCAGAUAUCAAUACCUAUUUGAGACUCCAAGUAUGUUUCUAGACCCGUUCGAGGACAAACAUUUAUUUAAGAGGGGGAAGAUAUAGCAUCAGGGUCGAUCAUUUUGGGUGUUGCAUCCCGGUUCACCUAUUUACUACUCAUUUUAUUCUUAAUUGUUGUUAUGUGACUUGUCGGGGUAGUUGAUACGGUUCCUGUGAUGUUUCGGUAUGUGAUGAGACACAUAGUCUCAAGGUUAGAAGCAUAAGUUGAAAAGGUUGACCGGAUGUUGACUUAUAUAUAAACGACACCGGAACGAAGUUUUGAUGGUUCUUAUAACUCCGUAGGGUGAUUUUGGACUUAGGAGUGUGUGCGGAUAGUGAAUCGGAGGUUCGUAGUUGGU
rnacentral:lncRNA from 1 species